rnacentral:rRNA from 1 species
GACGAACGCUGGCGGCGUGCUUAAUACAUGCAAGUCGAACGGAAAGGCCCUGCUCUUGUGGGGUGCUCGAGUGGCGAACGGGUGAGUAACACGCGAGUAACCUGCCCUUGACUUUGGGAUAACUUCAGGAAACUGGGGCGAAUACCGGAUAUGAGCUCCUUCUGCACGGUGGGUGUUGUAAAGUUUCGGCGGUUUGGGAUGGACGCGCGGCUUAUCAGCUUGUUGGUGGGGUAGUGGCGUACCAGGGCGUUGACGGGUAGCCGGCCUGGGAGGGUGACCGGCCACAUAGGGACUGAGGUACGGCCCAGACUCCUACGGGGGGCAGCGGUGGGGAAUAUUGCACAAUGGGCGGAAGCCUGAUGCAGCGACGCCGCGUGCGGGAUGACGGCCUUCGGGUUGUAAACCGCUUGCGCCUGUGACGAAGCGUGAGUGACGGUAAUGGGUAAAGAAGCACCGGCUAACUACGUG